rfam:Agrilus planipennis Contig49134, whole genome shotgun sequence.
AUUUUGGCAAUAUAAAUUAAGGUAAAAGAAGUUACAUACUCGGCUGAAGAGAACCUUAAUUGGUCCUAGAACGGCCUGAAGUAGGGAGGUUUUAGUCGGUGGGUCCGAAGACUUCUUCCUCGGGAAUCCGACACUACCCAAUCGUACGGACGGCUGGGUGUCUUUUGAAGAUUUCCCCUCUUCCACGAAA